AUCUGCCCGCCAAAUUCGCUGUUUGCCGGAAUUAGCCGCUUUAAAGAAUCGUUUCUUGAGAAUCAUUUCUAGAAACGUUUCUCGAGAAACGUUUCUCGAGAAACGUUUCUCGAGAAUCUUUUCUCGAGAAACGUUUCUCAAGAAUCGUUUCUAGAAUCGUUUCUCUGAUAUUUGGACCCACCCCAUGUCUCAUCUGCAUUUCAUAGUAAUAAAGUUUUUGAUAACCAAGUUAUCACAAAACAAACUGGUUCCUGGUUGAGGACAUUGCUAAACCGGUGGAGGUGGAGGCGCUGCGCGACGGCUUCGAGGCACUCUUCCAGACCACAAAUUAUGACAAGAUUUCAGGAUUUCAGUCUCCUUCAGAAUAUGAAAAAGAAUCCUCAAUUGUCAACCCAACCCAAGGAACUAAUCUGAUUUUUUAAACCCAAAGAGGAAGUUGCAGCCUUAAUUUUAUGGAAAUUAUCUGGUGCACUUGGUCAUCGAAACUUACUGAAAAUAUUUUGGCCUAUUCACUAAUUAAAUUGUAUGUUUUUGUGUAUUGAAAUAAAAAUUUGGUAAUAUGUUAUAUUUAAAAUUCAAAUUAUUUUUUCAAAUUCAG